rnacentral:rRNA from 1 species
GACGACCGCUGGCGGCGUGCUUAACACAUGCAAGUCGAACGAAGUGGCGAACGGGUGAGUCACGCGUAAUCAACCUGCCCUUCAGCGGGGGACAACAGUUGGAAACGACUGCUAAUACCGCAUACUGAAGGAGGGGAGUGCGUCUGAUUAGCUAGUGUGAGGGGUAACGGCCCACCAAGGCGAUGAUCAGUAGCCGGUCUGGUAUGAUGAACGGCCAUAUUGGUAUGGGGAUACGUCCCAGACUCCUACGGGAGGCAUCAGUGGGGAAUCUUCCGCAAUGGAUGAAAGUCUGACGGAGCAACUCCGCGUGAGUGAUGACGGCCUUCGGGUUGGAAAGCUCUGUUAAUCGGGACGCGGUACCGGAAUAGAAAGCCACGGCUAACUACGUGCCAGCAGCCGCGGUAAUAC